AUGGCGAUGGCAAGGGUGCCCAUCCUCAUCGCGGUGGCUCUCGUGGCCGCAGCGGCCUCGUGCAGCGCCUGGGAGCCCACCAUCCGUAUGCCGACGGCGGAGGCUGCGGCUGCUGCGGUCGACGAUGCCGUGGCGCCGCUCAUCCACGCGCUGCGCCCGCUGCUGGGCUCCAGCGGAGAGCUCGGCAGCCGCGGCGGCGUGCCGUGCGACAGCUGGAGGCUAGGCGUGGAGGCGUACAACGUGCGUGACUGGAAGACUGUCCCUGCCAACUGCGAGGGCUACGUGGGGCACUACAUGCUCGGCAGCCACUUCCGGCGCGACUCCAAGGUCGUCAUCGACCAGGCCAUUGCCUACGUCGACAGCCUCAAGCUCGCUGGCAACGGCAAGGAGGUGUGGGUCUUCGACAUCGACGAGACCACGCUCUCCAACCUCCCUUACUACGCCACGCACGGCUUUGGGGCUAGGCCAUACAACGCGACAAGCCGGUGUUCAUCACAGGCCGGACGGAAGACAAGAGGGCGAUCACCGUGGCCAACCUCCGCAGCCAGGGCAUCUCCGGGUGGAUGA
rnacentral:rRNA from 1 species